CCAAAAAAAGGCAAACCCGCGACCAUUUUCUUUCAGUCAGUCCCAUCCUUCAGCUCAGUCAAGAGUCACAAAAAAGGACAGAGAGAUGCUGACAGACCAUCUUCCACAUCUCUAACCGUCACUCGAGCCCCAGAAACUAAAGCAACAGAGCAAAGGCAGCGAGUGGUGGCAAAUGACAACAGGAUGGCUGUAAUACUAUGAGCCUAAAAGGAAGACAAAAAUGGCAUUGAUGUCAUUCGAACAACGAUCCUGGCAUAUCUAUUAACAUUAUGAAAGGAAGAGUCAGCAGAUGCUUUCAAGACACACAAGGU
rnacentral:lncRNA from 1 species